rnacentral:rRNA from 1 species
UACGUAGGGGGCAAGCGUUGUCCGGAUUUAUUGGGCGUAAAGAGCGUGUAGGCGGUUCGGUAAGUCUGUCGUGAAAUCCUGAGGCUCAACCUCGGGCGUGCAAUGGAUACUGCCGGGCUAGAGGGUGGUAGAGGCGAGUGGAAUUCCCGGUGUAGCGGUGAAAUGCGCAGAUAUCGGGAGGAACACCAGUAGCGAAGGCGGCUCGCUGGGCCACACCUGACGCUGAGACGCGAAAGCUAGGGGAGCGAACAGG